UGGGGAAUAUUGCACAAUGGGGGAAACCCUGAUGCAGCAACGCCGCGUGAACGAUGAAGGUCUUCGGAUCGUAAAGUUCUGUUGCAGGGGAAGAUAAUGACGGUACCCUGUGAGGAAGCCCCGGCUAACUACGUGCCAGCAGCCGCGGUAAUACGUAGGGGGCUAGCGUUAUCCGGAUUUACUGGGCGUAAAGGGUGCGUAGGUGGUCUUUCAAGUCGGUGGUUAAAGGCUACGGCUCAACCGUAGUUAGCCUCCGAAACUGGAAGACUUGAGUGCAGGAGAGGAAAGUGGAAUUCCCAGUGUAGCGGUGAAAUGCGUAGAUAUUGGGAGGAACACCAGUAGCGAAGGCGGCUUUCUGGACUGCAACUGACACUGAGGCACGAAAGCGUGGGUAGCAAACAGG
rnacentral:rRNA from 1 species